GAUCACUCUUUCUAAGGAUAAACUCAAUCGCUUCCUCGUGAAGCCUCUGCCUUCUGGUUUACUUGGACCAAGACGGAAGAGAGUCACUCUUACCGUCGUGCAUACCUUAAGCGGGUCUGCCGCCUUCGUUUCUCUUUCUUCGCGAAUGACUAACCUCCCUUUGGCUAUGCCCACAAGGCGUGCCUUGCCGGUGCAAAUGGUGCCAGCAGGGUUCGGUUUAGGGCUUGUAGCUCAGUUGGUUAGAGCGCGCGCUUGAUAAGCGUGAGGUCGGAGGUUCAAGUCCUCCCAGGCCCACCAUUUCCUCGACAAAAGGUAUCAGGGGCCGUAGCUCAGCUGGGAGAGCGCCUGCUUUGCAAGCAGGAUGUCGUCGGUUCGAUCCCGUCCGGCUCCACCAUCUUUCUUCCCUAGGGAGGAGAGGGUGUCGAGUGGAUGUAAAACCGGUUGCAAGGUCAUCGUUAUAAGUUUGCGGCGAGCCUCUGGCUCUCCGGCUGUUCUGUAUGACAUCGUAAAGAGAAGAUUUGUUCGAACUUCAUAUCCCCAAAAGGAUGUGAUUUGUCGCGGGAGACGCUCAAUCUCCCGCAUAUGAUGGGUUUGCCUAACCGCGCCCUCGAACCGAUCUCGAGAAGCUGGUCUUUUUGUGUCAAUGACAUCAAGCUAAAUCCCCGCACAGGAUUUGGCUUAAAGCGGAAGAUCCUUCGGGAUCGCGCGACGAGUGACAAUCUUCGGAUUGCACUUGGGGUGGGCAUUGGCAAUGAGAACGAUCAAGUGUCUUAAGGCAAUUGGU
rnacentral:tRNA from 1 species